CCUCUCUACUCCUUCGGGUAGAGGUAAGGUCUGCAUGCACACUAUACUCCCCAGACCCUACUUGUGGGAUUUUACUGGGUCGUUGUUGUUGUUGUUGAAUUUUAAGACAUACCAUAAGUACUAAUAUUGUCCGGGUGAUUUCAAAGUAAACCUGUAGUUAUCAUAGAACACCAUAUUAGCAUCAGAAGAUGAAAUGUACUUGUUCCUUUAGAAAGGAAAAAAAAUCCAAUAUGAAUAUUGUUUCGCUAUAACCAUAAGAACACAAAAGAGCUUCUGAGAACAUGCACCUUAUAGUUGAUGGUUGAUGAGGGGUAUCAUAUGCAUCAAAAUUACCAGAGGCAACACAAAAACCGACACAUCUUGACAUAUUCGACAUUUUUCUGAGCUAU
rnacentral:lncRNA from 1 species